rnacentral:tRNA from 1 species
GCCGCUGUGGUGUAGCCUGGCUAGCAUAGGGGCCUGUGGAGCCCUCAGCGUGGGUUCAAAUCCCACCGGCGGCCCCA